UAGUCCACGCCGUAAACGAUGAUCACUCGUUGUAUGCCUAUAUUUGGUAUGCGACUGAGUGAAAGCAUUAAGUGAUCCACCUGGGGAGUACGUUCGCAAGAAUGAAACUCAAAGGAAUUGACGGGGGCCCGCACAAGCGGUGGAACAUGUGGCUUAAUUCGAUGAUACGCGAGGAACCUUACCUGGGCUUAAAUGUAGAGUGCAUUCACUAGAAAUAGAGAUUUCCUUCGGGACUCUUUACAAGGUGCUGCAUGGUUGUCGUCAGCUCGUGCCGUGAGGUGUCGGGUUAAGUCCCAUAACGAGCGCAACCCCUAUCGUUAGUUGCUAGCAGGUAAUGCUGAGGACUCUAACGAAACUGCCGGUGUAAACCGAGAGGAAGGUGGGGAUGACGUCAAAUCAGCACGGCCCUUAUGUCCAGGGGCUACACACGUGUUACAAUGGUCGAUACAAUGGGCAGCUACCUGGGCAACAGGGAUGCUAAUCUCCAAAGUCGAUCUCA
rnacentral:rRNA from 1 species